CUGUGCAACAGCAUGAAGUCAUCAGCAGACCAGUCCAGUACCUACAGCAUACUCUCUUCUUCCACAGCCAUGCCUUCAUGUGGGGGAAAACACACAGGCAUGAAGGAGAAAGACAUGGAUAUACUUAGUAGUCAGAGGUGAAAUGAGUUCUGAUAGGAGCCAUGAUGCUACUGAACGUAUCCCAUCAUCCUGUCCAGGAGGGGAAACAAAAGACUGCAGACCUACACUAAAAACUGAUUGGCUGACUCACAGACUCUUUGCAAAGAACAGGCCAAUCAGAAACCUCUCUGUUUUGCAUGCUAGAUUCCAGGACAUUUUACCUGACCUGCGUCUUCCAGGAGACUUGGGACAUCUGUAACAGUGUAUACUCAAUAACACUGUAGUACACCAGUGACAACUUUCUUCUUCAGGACAUACCAAAAUGUUGUAGAGGCUAUGGCCAAUAUAUGUGCUUGUUUUUUAGCCAUAGAUUUAUAGCUCUCUCGUCUUAACAGGUAAAACAAUAAUCUGAAACUGGACAUAGUUAUUCAUGGCUGUUUAUUAUUUAAAUAAUCAAUAUAUCAGGAUACACCUAGGCAACAUAACAGACCUGAGAGUCACAUGUUCCAAUACUUCUUCUCACAGAAGGUGAUAUCUUCUGAACUGUGUAUCAAAUUCAGACGUAGAUACCUGGAAAUAAAAGCUGAAAUGCUGAUCUUUUAAUGCCAAAUUCAAAUGUUUUCAGUCUACAGCAAAAAUAACCUUACUGUCUUAAUCUUUUCAGAAAAGACUGCAUAUGUCCGCUGUAACGUUUAGCUCAAGAUUAGCUUUAGCUGGGAGCUGGUUUUAAAUCGGCCAAGUUGCACUUUGAUGGUCAAUACGAUUAUAAGCUGUUUUUUUUUUUUUCAGGAGGAAACAUGCCGUAUACUGGUAAGCUAACUGGUUAACCAGUGCUUAACCAGAGCAUUGUAUGUAAUGCUGAUCAUCUAGUGUGGUCUUGCAGGAAUUUAUACGUUUAAUUUACCCUAUUUGCAAAUAAAUUAUAGCUGUAUCACAGGAAAUGUAGGACUUUAUGGUCUAUACUGGAAUCAUAUGGUAAAUUACUAUUUUUCACAGCUACUAUGAAUAAUUACAGAUUAAUACAGCAUUAAAGGAAUAUUACACAUGCUAAAAAAAUACAUACUGAUACUGCUGUUGCAACAAUAAACCUCUAGAGGUCCUACCUCCCUAUAUAAUUGAGUUCAGGCCUUGGUAGGACUUCAAACAAAACUCCAAUUUGUACCAUUCUGAACCACAACCCAGCACUGGCUCACUGUUUAACACAACACACACUGGAUAACACUGUGUUUCUGAAGAUUAUGUAUUAAAAAGAUCUGUAUCUUUUGUUGUGUGUAUUUGAUUAAUUAUUUGUUACAUCUGUAUAAAUCAAUAAGUUUAUUGGGACCAUAUAACCAUAUAAGGUAUAUUAAAACAUUGCCAUUUUCGUCUUUCAGAUCAAACAUAUAAAAAAGGAUACAGACAGAGCGUCUUUUCAAACAGCCUUUAUUUCUUCUAGGUAACCGACACAUUACAACACCCUCAUUAAAUGUAAAAAAUAAUAAUAACAACUUCCUCAAAAAUAGCUGACCCACCUCCUUUACUGUAAACAACAAUUAUAGUAGUGAUUAAUUCUGGAUUUAUUUCUAUAUUUAUUUAUUCUUUUAUUUAUUUGUAUCCAUGGAUACACUGCUUAUCGUACCGAUGACGUAAUUAAUUGAUUAACCGACAAAGUACAUCCCUCAUCUACAGUUCUUAAAUGUGCUGGUUUUGUUCUGUAAUAUGCCUUUCUUUCCAUAUUGAUCACAAUCUGAAGUUACAGAACAAACAAACAAAACACACAUAAAAUUACAUUUAAACAAAGAAAAACAAAGAGCAGAGCUGGCUAAAAAAUCCAGCUUUGGAAAAUACUUAUAACACUUUUUGAGCUGCUAAAAUUAAUGGGAAUAUUUCCAGUUCAGUGUGUGAUAAAAGGGUUUUACAAGUUCAUUCUGAUGCGGGUCUGGGCUAAGAAACACAUUUAACUAUUUAACUGUUUCUGAUUCCUUUUACCCACAAGGUUCUUAGCACUAAGAUGAUUUAUAAAUGGUUGUGCAAGCUCCACACUAAAUAGUCUCUCUCCUUGUAAAGAUGUUCUUUGGGAAAUCAGAUGUUCUUUUGGGUUCUUUUACGCUUUUGGGGAAACUGGGAUCUGUUUUGAAAGAUUAAUUCAGAGGAAUAAUAAUUUAGAAAUGAAUGAUAUUGGAAAAGCCUGGUUGCCAGCACCCCCCGCCACGAAAAGCACCCCCUCUCUUGGCUUUAACUUUUUUUAGAAAAUAAAAAAAAUACCCAAGAUGCUGUUCUAAGCUAUGCUGACUCCUAAGAAAUAAUGAAAAAAUAGUCAAGUCACCUGCAGCCACUCCUGAGGGGGAGUGUUUUUUCUGGCGGAGGU